UACGUAGGGGCCAAGCGUUGUUCGGAUUUACUGGGCGUAAAGGGCGCGUAGGCGGCGCGGUAAGUCACUUGUGAAAUCUCUGAGCUUAACUCAGAACGGCCAAGUGAUACUGCAGUGCUAGAGUGUGGAAGGGGCAAUCGGAAUUCUUGGUGUAGCGGUGAAAUGCGUAGAUAUCAAGAGGAACACCUGAGGUGAAGACGGGUUGCUGGGCCAACACUGACGCUGAGGCGCGAAAGCCAGGGGAGCAAACGGG
rnacentral:rRNA from 1 species